rnacentral:misc_RNA from 1 species
UCCGGUUUGUCACCGGCGGUCUCCUUAGAGUUCCCACCAUUACGUGCUGGCACCUACUUCCAGGAUGUCAAACCCAGGUAAGGUUCUUCGCUUUGCAUCGAAUUAAGCAACGCGCUCCGCCGCUUGUGCGAGCCCCCGUCAAUUCCUUUGAGUUUUAGCCUUGCGGCCGUACUCCCCAGGCGGCGAACUUAAUGCGUUAGCUGCGGCACGGAGGGCAUGACACCCCCCACACCUAGUUCGCACCGUUUACGGCCAGGACUAC